GAUGAACGCUAGCUACAGGCUUAACACAUGCAAGUCGAGGGGCAGCAUGAGGUCAGCUUGCUGACUUUGAUGGCGACCGGCGCACGGGUGAGUAACGCGUAUCCAACCUUCCCGCGACUGGGGGAUAACCUUGCGAAAGUAAGACUAAUACCCCAUGGUUUCCGAGGCGGACAUCCAAUUUGGAAUAAAGAUUCAUCGGUUGUGGAUGGGGAUGCGUCUGAUUAGCUUGUUGGCGGGGUAACGGCCCACCAAGGCUACGAUCAGUAGGGGUUCUGAGAGAAAGGUCCCCCACAUUGGAACUGAGACACGGUCCAAACUCCUACGGGAGGCAGCAGUGAGGAAUAUUGGUCAAUGGACGAGAGCCUGAACCAGCCAAGUAGCGUGCAGGAUGACGGCCCUAUGGGUUGUAAACUGCUUUUAUACGGGAAUAAAGUCAACCACGUGUGGUUGUUUGUAUGUACCGUAUGAAUAAGGACCGGCUAAUUCCGUGCCAGCCGCCGCGGUAAAAC
rnacentral:rRNA from 1 species